AGGGUUUCUAAAACGCCUUUUGUUGCCUG
rnacentral:piRNA from 1 species